AGAGGGCAUGGCACAGUGUUAGAGCAUCUGCUUUUUAUGCAGAAGGACCUAAGUUCAAUCCUCAGAUCUCCA
rnacentral:tRNA from 1 species